CAGGAUCCGCACUGGAGAGCUCACCAGCAGCUGCUCCUUGGGCAUUUACACCUCUCACCCCCUGGCAGCAGGAGGAAAACCAUUACGAACCCAACAGUUUAAAGGGGGAAAGAUGAGUGGCUGGAGGGAGAAGGGAUAGCACCAGAAUGCCUCCCUGACCGCCCGUGGUUUGCUCAAAUAGGAUCGAUGGACUGCAGGCAGUCGUCAAGACGCUGAGCAGACAGGGGUUCUUUCUCUCUGAAAGUGGCAUUCACUGAGCUGGCACCGACAGAUCGAAGGGCGGAAAGGAAUUUUGCAGCGACUCGGGGAGGAAUUUGGACCUAAAUACAGACUGGAAGCCCCCUUUGCAAGUGACUCUUCCUACUGUGCUGUGCUCACCGUUCUGUAGCAGUCAUGUCUGUCGAGCUAUCAUAUGGGUUUCCAAGAGUUCUUCAGUUCCAGGUUGCCAAAUGGCUGCUGCCUCCAGUUUUUAACUAUAGCUAACAAUAAUUGUUUGGAUGUGUUUGUAAA